GUGCAUCUAUUUGAUACACCUAGAAUAGUUACUGUCUGCUGCUAAGCUUUCCAGUACAGAUGCAAGAAAAAAGUGUCCUUAUGCUUUCUGUCUGAUUGUGGUAAGAGAAAGGGGGGAUACAGGA
rnacentral:snoRNA from 1 species